rnacentral:lncRNA from 1 species
AUUUUUGCAAUUUUACAAGAACCCUAAACGUCUAUCUCAAACAGCCGCCGCUCUCUUCAAGCCUAUGGUUUGCCUUUAUAAGAGCGUCCUCCUCCACCAAGCAGAGAAGCCCUAAUCUAUCCCCUUCCGAUCGCUCUUUUGGAUUCCAGGAUUUGUAGUUAGAAUAUUUUUUGUAUAGAUAUAGAUUCGUAUUGAAAAUACGCCGAUGAGGAAGAAUUCCCAAAGUAUAGGAAGUGCCGUAUGACACUUUAAACAGCAGCAGCUGCACGGCUCCGCCACUUUUCCCAUCCGCCACUGGACAUUUUUGGAUUUGUUCCAAGUUUGUCCACUGGCCGGGACUGUGCGACCUACGCCGUGCUUCUCUGUGUGUGUGAUUUGGAACGGGUCUCUGAGGUUUCGAUUCAAUCCUAUUCUUUAAUGCUUCAUAAUUUUUGAUUAAUUGUUAAUUUUGAUUUCAAUCCAUCCUUUUUGUUUAUCCCAAAGGUCUGAUGCCACGUCACCGGUAGCGAAAUCGCUGUGACCGGCGAUGCUAUGAUUGGACCAAAAUCGAUUUCAUAUUUCGCAUGUUGAUAGGAAUCCGUGGACUGAAUUUUAUUCCAUUCAUCUAUGGAGCCGUUUUCUGCGAUUACAUUUUCUUAAAUUCAUUUUUUUUUAAAUCAACAAAUUUCUGUAGUGUUCUGAGGCCUAUGAGGAACGUUUUGUUUAUUUGGAAUUACCGUCUGAACAUAAUUUGAUGUGAGAUCGACUAUCUGAGGCCUCGCACUUCAAUUACUGAUUAUCUUGAAUCAACUAAUGCAGUCUAUUGAUUCCGAUUAUUUCUUAUUACAUUAAAUUAAAUCUUUCUCCUUCCUACUUUUAACUACACAAUUUCAAUAAAAUUAUAUUAUGUGUAAAUCAAAAAUUUUUU